rnacentral:rRNA from 1 species
GAUUCUGGCUCAGGAUGAACGCUAGCGACAGGCUUAACACAUGCAAGUCGAGGGGCAGCAUAAAAGUAGCAAUACUUGGUGGCGACCGGCGCACGGGUGAGUAACGCGUAUGCAACCUACCUAUCAGGAGGGGAAUAACCCGGCGAAAGUCGGACUAAUACCGCAUAAAACAGGGGCACCGCAUGGUGAUAUUUGUUAAAGAAAUUCGCUGAUAGAUGGGCAUGCGUUCCAUUAGGUAGUUGGUGAGGUAACGGCUCACCAAGCCGACGAUGGAUAGGGGAACUGAGAGGUUGGUCCCCCACACUGGUACUGAGACACGGACCAGACUCCUACGGGAGGCAGCAGUGAGGAAUAUUGGUCAAUGGGCGGGAGCCUGAACCAGCCAAGUCGCGUGGAAAAGGAAGAAGGAUCUAUGGUUCGUAAACUUCUUUUGCAGGGGAAUAAAGUGCAGGACGUGUCCUGUUUUGUAUGUACCCUGAGAAUAAGGAUCGGCUAACUCCGUGCCAGCAGCGGC